UGUCCCGAGGCUCCAGCUCCGUUCGGCCCAGCUCUCAGAGAAACGAAGCGCUCAGUACGAACUUUUGAUACUAGUUUUUAUGGGUAUUUACACUCUGGCGAGGGGAGCUGAGUACGGAAGCUCCAUUAAUCGGCCCCAACCUUGGGUUUAGAUAUUCAGUUUAU
ensembl:misc_RNA